rnacentral:rRNA from 1 species
UACGUAGGGCGCAAGCGUUUGUCCGGAUUUAUUGGGCGUAAAGAGCUCGUAGGCGGUUUGUCGCGUCGGUUGUGAAAACCCCGCAGCUUAACUGUGGGCGUGCAGUCGAUACGGGCAGACUAGAGGCAUGCAGGGGAGAAUGGAAUUCCUGGUGUAGCGGUGAAAUGCGCAGAUAUCAGGAGGAACACCGGUGGCGAAGGCGGUUCUCUGGGCAUGUCCUGACGCUGAGGAGCGAAAGCGUGGGGAGCGAACAGG